rnacentral:rRNA from 1 species
UACGUAGGGUGCAAGCGUUGCUCGGAAUCACUGGGCGUAAAGCGCACGUAGGCGGCCUCUUAAGUCGGUGGUGAAAUCCUGGAGCUCAACUCCAGAACUGCCUUCGAUACUGGGAGUCUCGAGUCCGGGAGAGGUGAGUGGAACUGCGAGUGUAGAGGUGAAAUUCGUAGAUAUUCGCAAGAACACCAGUGGCGAAGGCGGCUCACUGGCCCGGUACUGACGCUGAGGUGCGAAAGCGUGGGGAGCAAACAGG